UACAGAGGUCUCAAGCGUUGUUCGGAUUCAUUGGGCGUAAAGGGUGCGUAGGCGGCGCGGUAAGUCGGGUGUGAAAUCUUGGAGCUUAACUCCGAAACUGCAUUCGAUACUGCCUGUGCUUGAGGACUGGAGAGGAGACUGGAAUUUACGGUGUAGCGGUGAAAUGCGUAGAUAUCGUAAGGAAGACCAGUGGCGAAGGCGGGUCUCGUGGACAGUUCCUGCGGCUGGAGGCAACGGAAGGCCAGGGGAGCGAAACGGG
rnacentral:rRNA from 1 species